rnacentral:tRNA from 1 species
GGGGUUAUAGCUCAGUGGUGGAGCCCAUGCUUAGCACGCACCACGUCCUGGGUUCAAUCCCCAGUACCUGCG